rnacentral:lncRNA from 1 species
UGGUGUCAAAAAAGUUGGCUUUCAGAUUUACGAAGGUGAAUUGAGUGGUCAAAGAACACCUGAAAUAUUGGAUUUAGCUUGGAGAAUUUACAAAGGUGCCAAUGGUAUUCACGUAAGCGCACAUCACAGAAUGGGCAAAUUAAUCAUAAUUAGUUUCAGCUCGGUCCUAUGACGAGUACAAAUGCACAUACAUAGACACUCAUAGGCAUGCACCCUGUGAAGCAGCUACAAUAAAUCGUGAAGCCAUGUGCCAAAUUAUAGAGUGCUGCUCUGAAACACCAUGUAGCUAUACAAGCACACGCAAGGCUGUGGUGGUGCUUUCUAUUAAAUCAUGUAUGACACACCAAACCAUGUAAUUUGCUACUUGAGAUGUCUAAAAUUCUUUGGUUUAGGGACAUGCACCGAAUGAACUACAAACUGCACUAAUAUACAAACAGAUACAUACAUACCUGAUGCGUGCUCAAGGACAUACCAAGACCCCAGGCAGAUACAUCAAAUCUGAACAUACAUGAGGAGAAAGAAGAGAAGUGCAUUACCCCAUCUGAAGAUACAUGAGUAAGAAGCAAGAUAACCGUCGGUCAUUACAUAACCAGAAUUAGAUAUUAAUUUUAUAUUGCCAGAUUUAUGAAAUACCAUAAGAGCACUAAAUCACAAAGUCCUUGAGAAAUUAAUUCUCUAGCUAUCAAAGCAACAGGUCUAUGAAAUCAAAGCAUUACCCUUGCCAAGAUCAUCAUCAGCGCCACCAUGGACGUCAACAGCAGGGCCAACAACUGAAUGUGGUAAACAAAUAUGCCUAUCACAUCAAGGAAAUGUUCCAUAGACAUCUCCAUGGAUUUCUUAGAACAAUAAAAAUACUGGGCAAUGCAACUCAAAAUCAAAACAUAUAUACUCUUCGAUUCAGACUUGUUACUCCCAUACCCUUUCGGCACCUCCUUCUUCUCCCUCGGGAAAUCUGAACCAUUAAGGGCCUUCUCAUCAACACAGCCACCAACUAAGCUGAUGGUUUCUCAUAUAAAAAAUACUAAAUGGGACACUCAUUCAUGGUAACCACCAUGACGAGCUUAAUAGUAUUACAAAAAGAAUUGCCAGAUUUUAUAUUCAAAUGUCAUAUCUGAAUGUAGUAUGCUUAAACAUUUGCAUAUGCUACCUGAUUAGUUAGUGUAGGCAUGACAGGCUUGCACUUGUUGUUCCAUUUUAGCUCUUGAGAACCACAUGACACUGAAUUCCUCUUAAAUAAUAACUUCUCCAACUUCCUUUCUUUCAUGAAGAUAAUGUAUCAUCUUUUGAAAAGAUAUUGUAUCAUGUCAACCAGUGCUGCAAUCU